GACGAACGCUGGCGGCGUGCCUAAUACAUGCAAGUAGAACGCUGAAGGAGGAGCUUGCUUCUCUGGAUGAGUUGCGAACGGGUGAGUAACGCGUAGGUAACCUGCCUGGUAGCGGGGGAUAACUAUUGGAAACGAUAGCUAAUACCGCAUAAUAGUAGAUGUUGCAUGACAUUUGCUUAAAAGGUUCAAUUGCAUCACUACCAGAUGGACCUGCGUUGUAUUAGCUAGUUGGUGGGGUAACGGCUCACCAAGGCGACGAUACAUAGCCGACCUGAGAGGGUGAUCGGCCACACUGGGACUGAGACACGGCCCAGACUCCUACGGGAGGCAGCAGUAGGGAAUCUUCGGCAAUGGACGGAAGUCUGACCGAGCAACGCCGCGUGAGUGAAGAAGGUUUUCGGAUCGUAAAGCUCUGUUGUAAGAGAAGAACGAGUGUGAGAGUGGAAAGUUCACACUGUGACGGUAUCUUACCAGAAAGGGACGGCUAACUACGUG
rnacentral:rRNA from 1 species